CCUACGGGUGGCAGCAGUGGGGAAUAUUGGACAAUGGGCGAAAGCCUGAUCCAGCCAUGCCGCGUGUGUGAAGAAGGCCUUCGGGUUGUAAAGCACUUUCAGUGGGGAAGAAAGCCUUGGGGCUAAUACCCUCGAGGAAGGACAUCACCCACAGAAGAAGCACCGGCUAACUCCGUGCCAGCAGCCGCGGUAAUACGGAGGGUGCAGCGUUAAUCGGAAUUACUGGGCGUAAAGCGGGCGUAGGCGGUCUGAUAAGCCGGUUGUGAAAGCCCCGGGCUCAACCUGGGAACGGCAUCCGGAACGGUCAGGCUAGGGUGGAGGAGAGGAAGGUAGAAUUCCCGGUGUAGCGGGGAAAUGCGUAGAGAUAGGGAGGAAUCCCAGUGGCGAAGGAGGCCUUCUGGACUGACACUGACGCUGAGGUGCGAAGGCGUGGGUAGCAAACAGGAUUAGAUACCCGGUAGUC
rnacentral:rRNA from 1 species